UUAUUUCCUUAUUGGCUUUCAGGGCACCAAUACUAGCUGCUAAUUCCAGAUUUCAGGUUCUCAUUUGUGAAGAAUCCAAUCUGGUGAGACAGGGCAGAGGGC